ensembl:lncRNA
AUGCUCUACCAUGGAGUAUCUGCUGGUAGCUGUGCAUGUACCAUGGAGUAUCUGUGCUGGUACCUGUGUGUGUACCAUGGAGUAUCUGUACUGGUACCUGUGCGUGUACCAUGGAGUAUCUGUGCUGGUACCUGUGUGUGUACCAUGGAGUGUACCAUGUGCGUGUACCAUGGAGUAUCUGUGCUGGUGCCUGUGUGUGUACCAUGGAGUAUCUGUGCUGGUACCUGUGCAUGUACCAUGGAGUAUCUGUGCUGGUACCUGUGCGUGUACCAUGGAGUAUCUGUACUGGUACCUGUGCGUGUACCAUGGAGUAUCUGUGCUGGUACCUGUGUGUGUACCAUGGAGUGUACCAUGUGCGUGUACCAUGGAGUAUCUGUGCUGGUACCUGUGUGUGUACCAUGGAGUAUCUGUACUGGUACCUGUGCGUGUACCAUGGAGUAUCUGUGCUGGUACCUGUGCAUGUACCAUGGAGUGUACCAUGUGCGUGUACCAUGGAGUAUCUGUGCUGGUGCCUGUGUGUGUACCAUGGAGUAUCUGUGCUGGUACCUGUGCAUGUACCAUGGAGUAUCUGUGCUGGUACCUGUGUGUGUACCAUGGAGUAUCUGUACUGGUACCUGUGCGUGUACCAUGGAGUAUCUGUGCUGGUACCUGUGUGUGUACCAUGGAGUGUACCAUGUGCGUGUACCAUGGAGUAUCUGUGCUGGUGCCUGUGUGUGUACCAUGGAGUAUCUGUGCUGGUACCUGUGCAUGUACCAUGGAGUAUCUGUGCUGGCACCUGUGCGUGUACCAUGGAGUGUACCAUGUGUGUGUACCAUGGAGUGUACCAUGUGCAUGUACCAUGGAGUAUCUGUGCUGGUACCUGUGUGUGUACCAUGGAGUGUACCAUGUGCGUGUACCAUGGAGUAUCUGUACUGGUACCUGUGCGUGUACCAUGGAGUGUACCAUGUGUGUGUACCAUGGAGUGUACCAUGUGCGUGUACCAUGGAGUAUCUGUGCUGGUACCUGUGCGUGUACCAUGGAGUGUACCAUGUGUGUGUACCAUGGAGUGUACCAUGUGCAUGUACCAUGGAGUAUCUGUGCUGGUACCUGUGUGUGUACCAUGGAGUGUACCAGGUGGGUGUACCAUGGAGUAUCUGUACUGGUACCUGUGCGUGUACCAUGGAGUGUACCAUGUGUGUGUACCAUGGAGUGUACCAUGUGCGUGUACCAUGGAGUGUACCAUGUGUGUGUACCAUGGAGUGUACCAUGUGCGUGUACCAUGGAGUAUCUGUGCUGGUACCUGUGUGUGUACCAUGGAGUAUCUGUACUGGUACCUGUGCGUGUACCAUGUGUGUGUCUGUGGCUGGUACCUGUGCAUGUACCAUGGAGUGUACCAUGUGCGUGUACCAUGGAGUAUCUGUGCUGGUGCCUGUGUGUGUACCAUGGAGUAUCUGUGCUGGUACCUGUGCAUGUACCAUGGAGUAUCUGUGCUGGCACCUGUGCGUGUACCAUGGAGUAUCUGUACUGGUACCUGUGCGUGUACCAUGGAGUGUACCAUGUGUGUGUACCAUGGAGUGUACCAUGUGUGUGUACCAUGUAGUGUACCAUGUGCGUGUACCAUGGAGUAUCUGUGCUGGUGCCUGUGCGUGUACCAUGGAGUAUCUGUGCUGGUACCUGUGCGUGUACCAUGGAGUGUACCAUGUGCGUGAACCAUGGAGUAUCUGUGCUGGUACCUGUGUGUGUACCAUGGAGUGUACCAUGUGCGUGUACCAUGGAGUCCUCCUCAGUGCAUCUAGAAAUUAUUGGAACUGGUUUUCCAUUCUGUCGGUGAGGCUGGGUUACUUACUUGAUGCACAGUUCAGUGAAUUUGUUUGUGUUGGCAUUAAAUUUUUAGUCCCUCAUCCUUUAUUCGUUAAUUUUAUUGUUUAA